rnacentral:misc_RNA from 1 species
GAAAUGCGAUAAGUAAUGUGAAUUGCAGAAUUCAGUGAAUCAUCGAAUCUUUGAACGCACAUUGCGCCCCGUGGUAUUCCGCGGGGCAUGCCUGUUCGAGCGUCAUUUAAACCAAUCCAGCUUACUGGGUCUUGGGCACCGCCUCCGGGCGGGCCUUAAAAUCAGUGGCGGCGCCACCUGGCUCUAAGCGUAGUAAUACUCCUCGCUACAGAGUCCCGGGUGGAGGCUGGCCAGAACCCCCCAUUUUAUCAGGUUGACCUCGGAUCAGGUAGGGAUACCCGCUGAACUUAA